CCUACGGGAGGCAGCAGUGGGGAAUUUUGGACAAUGGGCGCAAGCCUGAUCCAGCCAUUCCGCGUGAGUGAAGAAGGCCUUCGGGUUGUAAAGCUCUUUCGCAAGGGAAGAAACGUUACUCGCGAAUAACGAGUGAUAAUGACGGUACCUUGAUAAGAAGCACCGGCUAACUACGUGCCAGCAGCCGCGGUAAUACGUAGGGUGCGAGCGUUAAUCGGAAUUACUGGGCGUAAAGCGUGCGCAGGCGGUUUUGUAAGUCAGAUGUGAAAUCCCCGAGCUCAACUUGGGAACUGCGUUUGAAACUACAAGACUAGAAUAGGUCAGAGGGGGGUAGAAUUCCACGUGUAGCAGUGAAAUGCGUAGAGAUGUGGAGGAAUAUCAAUGGCGAAGGCAGCCCCCUGGGAUCAUAUUGACGCUCAUGCACGAAAGCGUGGGGAGCAAACAGGAUUAGAUACCCUGGUAGUCCACGCCCUAAACGAUGUCAACUAGUUGUUGGUAGAGUAAAAUCUAUGAGUAACCGNGAGCGACGCGUGAGUUAGACCGCCGUGGGUAGGUACGUUAGUUCGUCGAAGAAGUUAAACGUUAACGAAGUUAGAAGUUAGUUACGGCGUUGAGACGUUAGCCGACGGACGACGACGAGGGAGGAGG
rnacentral:rRNA from 1 species